AAAACCAGCAGAGUUUGUAAUAAGUACAAACCCCCAAAACACAGUUGGUCAUAUCAGACUGAGUUUCAAGAUCUGCCUGACUGUGCUCAGUCAGCUCCACUCUGGAUUUGUACACUCUGGUGGUCAUUACAUUCCCCAAAAUAUCAGCAUCUGCUGUAAAACAACCAUUUUCCUGAUGGAUCCCAAAAUCUUUUUGAGGGUUCUCCUCUUCCUAUCCUAAUAGGAAGAGCCAAAAAGAAUUAAAAGAAUUAAAAAAUAACCCACUCCUUCUACCUUUUAGAGGUGAUUCUUACUGUGUGGGUUUGAAUUUCUCUGGUUUCACACAUUGCUGGUUAUGUUGCCUAUUAUAAAGGAUUCAGUAAGACACACUUUCUCCCAGUGGUAUUUUAUUUUGACACAUCUCAAAGGAAAAUACAGCUCAUUAUUUUAUACAAGAUUCAAAUAUGUUGUCACCUGGUUUUCAUGCAUUAAAAUGUGACUCAUUUUUUGCUGUAGGUAUAUGAAAAAGCAGCAUGAGCCUAUAAUAAGCUUAUUUAGUAAUUUAUUUAUGUAUUUUUUGGUCAUCCAAAAAGGGGGCAAAUGUCAGGAAUUGUCUUCUUUUGAAUGUCUUUGUGUUCAGAAUGCAAGUCCUCCCUUGUCUGGUCCUGUAUUCUUUAUCUUCAUGGUUUGGCUCUCCAGAGGCGUAUUUAAAUUGUCAUAAAUGUAGGAAAACUUUUCAGGGGAAAAACACUCAGAGACCUUGUUUAUUUAAGUUUUAAAAAUAUUAUUUAUCAUGCCCUGUAAAAUAUCAUGUAUCAACCCUCUGGGGACAGGGCAGCCUUUUCAAAUCAGUCAUAAGCUGAAACUUUAUACAAGAUGCAAAUUAGGAGCUUGAUUAAACGAAACCUAGUGUUCAGUCUGUGUCUGGUGAAGUUUCUGUAGGCACAGCAGCAAUUAAUGUGGGGCCAGCUAAGCAAAUCUGUUGUGAACACGUUUCACUUUAUGCAAUGUAUACACAUAAAGCAUGAAAUUUUGGCCCAGGUGGAUGUGCCAGUCUGUUGAGAUUACCUGAUCCAGGAGAUGCUUUAAAUUAUGGAAACCACAAGGGAUCAAUACUUCUCCAAACGUCUCUGGCACAUCGAAUAGAAUUAAAAAAAAAGAAAUAAAUAUAAGUUUUCAAGGUUUCAGAAAUAUCCAAUCCCCAUCUGAAAAAGGAGUCCAUUUGAGCUCUUGAUUAACCAGAACCAACAUUGGAGAGGUGGCCUCUGAUCUCCAUGUUUAAAUUUCAGUCUUGGAACAGACUGAAGAGGCCGGAUUUAAAGUCUGGAUUUUGUUUCACUUGCAGUAGAACGGAAGAGCUGCCAAGCUCAGGCACCACCAGUGCUUUGUGGAAGCCGACAUAUGAAUUUGUUCUACAAAUGUGCCAGGGACACCCUGAUCCAACAGGCAGAUCACUUCCAGAAGACACAGAGUUAUAUCUCUGAGCUGACUUCCAGUUCUUAUUACCACCCAUUAAGAGAAAAAUUCUGCAUAAAGCAAACCAGGAAAGAAGAGAAGGAAUGUCUGUGGGAAGGAUGGAAAGGACAACAGGAGGAAAGAGAUAAGCAACUAAGAGAAUAAGUAAGACAAAAAUCUCUUCAGCAUUGUGGUGGGAAACCUCUGCAGAUUUAUUGUAUGAAAGGACAUUUUUAGCCCUUUUUGUCUUUUUUGUAUUUUUUAAAAAGUAUUAAUUAUCGUGUAUCGUGACACACAGUUCCUUUUUUGCACUUCUAUUAAAGACCACUAACUUUAAGGUCUGCUCUCUUAACUAUCUUUCUAUUCCUGGAUCUAACCUGCUGAUAGCAGAACAUGUUGUUGGAAAAGGAGGUCCCAAGGGAAAACACCAUAAAAAAGGAAAUAUAUAAGUAAAGAAAUACUAGUAACUGUGAUGUGAUAUCAUUUAUGCUUUAUUUCUGAAUGGAUCAGAGGAAGCCUGCCUGUCAAAAGGAAAAGGAUAUGAGAAUGAACACUGCCAGAAAAUAUUACAUUAAAAAAUUUCUCCUUCUCUGGGAUGAAUAUAGCAGAGUAAAAGUGUUCCUACAGAAGAAAAAAAAAAAAAAGAUAAAUUAUGUGUUGAUUUUAAGUGCAGUGUGAGAAUGAAGGAAAUACGAGCUGCAGAGAGAUACAAAGAGGAAUGGUGUGAUGGGUUCAGGCUGGGGUGGUGUUUCACACAGUUGGGGAGGAGAGGUGGAGGGAAAAAAUGGGGAUCUGCAGCAUCCUGAGCCAUCAGCCAUGGGGGAAGUUUUCCCACAGUGCCACUCAUUUACUGUCCUGUGAGGAACUGAAUGAAAAUUAUCCUUUAGACAGAAAGGGGUAACAUUCUUGUCCUCAUUCUUCUUCAUCAGCCCCUUCCUUUUCCUGGUAAAUCUUCUCCAAUUCCUUUUGUACCUGAAGGUGAUGGAAAAAGAAGAGACAACCCCUAUUGGCCUUCUGGACCCCACUGACUUCAGCAGCCCAAGGACUUGUAGAUCCAUUUUACAAAGAAAUAAAGCCAUAUAAGUUUA